rnacentral:rRNA from 1 species
UUGAAGAGUUUGAUCAUGGCUCAGAUUGAACGCUGGCGGCAGGCCUAACACAUGCAAGUCGAGCGGUAGCACAGAGAGCUUGCUCUCGGGUGACGAGCGGCGGACGGGUGAGUAAUGUCUGGGAAACUGCCUGAUGGAGGGGGAUAACUACUGGAAACGGUAGCUAAUACCGCAUAAUGUCGCAAGACCAAAGUGGGGGACCUUCGGGCCUCAUGCCAUCAGAUGUGCCCAGAUGGGAUUAGCUAGUAGGUGGGGUAACGGCUCACCUAGGCGACGAUCCCUAGCUGGUCUGAGAGGAUGACCAGCCACACUGGAACUGAGACACGGUCCAGACUCCUACGGGAGGCAGCAGUGGGGAAUAUUGCACAAUGGGCGCAAGCCUGAUGCAGCCAUGCCGCGUGUGUGAAGAAGGCCUUCGGGUUGUAAAGCACUUUCAGCGGGGAGGAAGGCGAUAAGGUUAAUAACCUUGUCGAUUGACGUUACCCGCAGAAGAAGCACCGGCUAACUCCGUGCCAGCAGCCGCGGUAAUACGGAGGGUGCAAGCGUUAAUCGGAAUUACUGGGCGUAAAGCGCACGCAGGCGGUCUGUCAAGUCGGAUGUGAAAUCCCCGGGCUUAACCUGGGAACUGCAUUCGAAACUGGCAGGCUAGAGUCUUGUAGAGGGGGGUAGAAUUCCAGGUGUAGCGGUGAAAUGCGUAGAGAUCUGGAGGAAUACCGGUGGCGAAGGCGGCCCCCUGGACAAAGACUGACGCUCAGGUGCGAAAGCGUGGGGAGCAAACAGGAUUAGAUACCCUGGUAGUCCACGCCGUAAACGAUGUCGAUUUGGAGGUUGUGCCCUUGAGGCGUGGCUUCCGGAGCUAACGCGUUAAAUCGACCGCCUGGGGAGUACGGCCGCAAGGUUAAAACUCAAAUGAAUUGACGGGGGCCCGCACAAGCGGUGGAGCAUGUGGUUUAAUUCGAUGCAACGCGAAGAACCUUACCUGGUCUUGACAUCCACAGAACUUUCCAGAGAUGGAUUGGUGCCUUCGGGAACUGUGAGACAGGUGCUGCAUGGCUGUCGUCAGCUCGUGUUGUGAAAUGUUGGGUUAAGUCCCGCAACGAGCGCAACCCUUAUCCUUUGUUGCCAGCGGUCCGGCCGGGAACUCAAAGGAGACUGCCAGUGAUAAACUGGAGGAAGGUGGGGAUGACGUCAAGUCAUCAUGGCCCUUACGACCAGGGCUACACACGUGCUACAAUGGCAUAUACAAAGAGAAGCGACCUCGCGAGAGCAAGCGGACCUCAUAAAGUAUGUCGUAGUCCGGAUUGGAGUCUGCAACUCGACUCCAUGAAGUCGGAAUCGCUAGUAAUCGUAGAUCAGAAUGCUACGGUGAAUACGUUCCCGGGCCUUGUACACACCGCCCGUCACACCAUGGGAGUGGGUUGCAAAAGAAGUAGGUAGCUUAACCUUCGGGAGGGCGCUUACCACUUUGUGAUUCAUGACUGGGGUGAAGUCGUAACAAGGUAACCGUAGGGGAACCUGCGGUUGGAUCACCUCCUU